GACGAACGCUGGCGGCGUGCCUAACACAUGCAAGUUGAACGGAGAUAUGAUUUCGGUUAUAUCUUAGUGGCGAACGGGUGAGUAACGCGUGAGCAACCUGACUCUUAGAGGGGGAUAACACCCGGAAACGAGUGCUAAUACCGCAUAAGACCACGACAUGGCAUCAUGACGAGGUCAAAGGAGCAAUCCGCUGAGAGAGGGGCUCGCGUCCCAUUAGAUAGAUGGCGGGGUAACGGCCCACCAUGUCAGCGAUGGGUAGCCGAGCUGAGAGGCUGAUCGGCCACACUAGAACUGAGACACGGUCCAGACUCCUACGGGAGGCAGCAGUGGGGAAUAUUGGGCAAUGGGCGCAAGCCUGACCCAGCAACGCCGCGUGAGGGAAGAAGGCUUUCGGGUUGUAAACCUCUGUCCUUGGUGACGAAACAAAUGACGGUAGCCAAGGAGGAAGCCCCGGCUAACUACGUGCCAGCAGCCGCCGUAA
rnacentral:rRNA from 1 species